CGCGGUGGCCACGCCUCCUUCCCCCCCCACGUGUCCCGGGGGAGCCAAUGAGAGACGGGGGGCGGGGCGAAGGCCGCUGGGCCUGGCGCCGAGGGCAGCAGCCGCGGAGCGGACUCCGGAGUCUUCUGGGCAAAACGGGGCUUCUGCCCCAGGCCAUCACUCCGCGCAGGGCCGGCCUGUCAACUCUCCGACCACUGACUCGCCGUGGCUCUCCGAAGAACCGACUCCUUCGGCGUCCCGCCACGCCUGCACUCCGAGCGUCGGACCGGCUGGGGGAGCUCCCGCCCCCUCGCUCUCGUGAUUGGCCGUGGCGCGCCGUCCGCAGCCGUCUUCCGGUGGUUGGUGGUUGAUGGAUGGCGCAGCGAGCCAAUCGGCGCCGGCGAGCCGGCUGGGGAGCGGAUUUCUGGGAGUUGUAGUCCCAGAGAGGCGGCCCCGGGAUCUCCGGCUGAGUGCCUACCAGCCUGCAGACUUCUGGCUGUGUUUCUGCUGUUUGAGUCGCUGCAAGCGGAGGUGUCUUGUGAUGCUCAGCCCUGGUCCCAGCCAUUCUGGAGAAACGGGUGACGCCCCCUCCACUGGGCUACAGGCUGCAGGAUCUGCGGGGAGUUCGGCAGCUCAUCGACCACAGUGUGCUCCCUUGUGAAAGGUGGUGAUGAGUCAGGAUGUUACGAGGCCGAGGUCCAUACACACGGAGAACUUAGAACCGCACAAAAUACUCAGCAAAAUGGUGUGUCACUCCUACUAGUUCCUCCUUCUCCAAAACUGCUACCAGCUGACAGCCUCACAUCAAAACACUGGGGCUUUCCCCUUAGGAAGAAGCUGCCGCAAUGGCCCCCCUGGGUAAGUCGGCCUUGGGUAAGCAGGUGCCGUGGAUGAUUUUUUUCUUUAACACUGAGCACAGGAAUAGAUCUAAUGGGUUGCAAUUUGGUGUAAUACACUAUGUACCAAACAUCAAUCAUUUGGGUGCCAAUUACAAGAUGUCUACAAAA